CCCUCUUCCCGAUACGAGAUUUUUCCUAAUAUCCUGCAUGAACCUCCCCUGGCACAGCUUGAGGCACCUCACUACGUGACUACCGGUAGUUGUCAUUUUCCCUUUUUCCCAAGGAGAUGGAUUUUUCCUGCCCGAAUUCGAGCAAGUUUCAUCCCAAAUCGCUCAGAGAGAAGAGAAGCUCCUGCGAUCCCUGAGUGAUGCAUGACUUUGUUUUACACGUUCCCGUGAGAUGCUUCUGGGCAGUUGGCAUGUUUCAAAAAACUUGUCGCUCGUGAGCUGGAGCAGAAACCUGACUGAGAGACACAGCAGGAACAGAUGCUGUGAACGACUGGUUGGCUUCAUUUGGCUCUCAGAGGUCUGGACAAAGGGGUAGUGCUGCAAUCUGGCAUGGACCUUGUGCCAUUCAGGGAGGUCUUGGUACAAAUCUAGCAAAGUCAUUGCUUCUUCAUGUCGGUGAGCUAAGCUUCGUCCUCUGUGCUGUAACCUUCCUCUCCAUAAAAUGGGGAAGAAGCCAUCCAGGGUAGAUGUUACUCCUUCCCUCAGAGAUCUUCAGCUUCUGUAACCUCACGGCCAAAGGAGUUGUCUCCUUAUGGAAGAGGAUUUGCUCCAAAACCCUCUCAAACUCAUGGACCUCUCAGCACUCCACAGGGCUGGCAGAUUGGUCCACGCCACUGAGACUUUUCCUAUGAAUAGGAGAAUACCAUGCUUUGUUGAGGCCCCUCGCACUCAGCCUUAUAACUCCUCUCCCAUUUGCUCCCACUUGGCUGGAAGCGGUAAGGAUCAUGCCAGCCUGGCCAGUGCUUAUUAAAAUGAAGAAGAAAGCAGGGCCUGCCUUGCAGUACAACGUAUGAUUCUGCUGCAACAUGGCGUGGAUGUAUUGUAAUUGUUUUCAAACAAGCUUUAAAGAUAUUGAGGUAAAGCAUCAGAAGGAGGUACAGAACAGAAGGAACGUCUGAAAACUUCUCCUGAUUAGUUCUUGUAUUUACAUGUUGUUUUCUCUCACAGACCAGGCUUAUUGCAGUCUAGGUUAUAGCAAGAUCAUUUCGUACACCAGAAGGCUUUGCAAUUUGCCAGUGAAAAGCCAAAUAGGAAUCAAAGAUACCAGUGAGCAAGUUCAUGCCCCAAAAGAAAAGUUGUCCAUUCUAAUAGUGGAGGAAUUAAGGCUAUAACAAACCUCAGGGCAAGGAGUGGAUUGUCGUGCUACUACACCAAGACUGAACAACGUUCUUUAAGAUAAUGCUUAAAUCAGACAAGUUGCUUACCUCAGGAGAGAGGAACUGGGUGAGGUCUAUGGCCUGUGCAGAGUUCCAGCCAGAUGGUCCGAUGAGCUCUUCUGCUCUUAAAACCCAUGAAAUGCAGGAGCAGCAGCAAUGUCUUGAGUCAAGCAGACCUGUUCCCUGCCUUUGCAAGCCGUCACAAAUGAACCAAGUGACAACGCAACAUUCACACCAGGGUGAUAUUGCAGAAUUCCUCUUCUCUGAUGUUUAAAAACCUUCACAAAUAUACUCAUGGAUGAUAUAUGUACCUGUCCUGUUGCAGCACUGUCUUUUGGGUGAAACAGAACCAUUUAUAUUCCCAUUUAUACUCAUGGAGAGCAAUCUUAACCUUUUGCUUUGCUAGGUUGGACAGAGAAACCCCUGAUGUGGGAGGAUAUACCACUCCUGUAAGGGCACACCUAGGGAGCAGACUGAGGGCAAAACAUGCUGCCAAUCAAAGCUUAACUUAAUUAGAAUAUUUUAAAACAGUCUUCUGGCUCGACAUUACUGCUCUCAGUGAUCUUCUGCCACAAGCUCUAAGGUCUAUCAAGCAAGGUGUUAAGAGUGGUUUUGACUUGAGAGAACCAUACACCUCAUUUCUUCUUAUCCUAAUAGUGGAUCUGAAAUAUUUUAGGCAAAUCUUUUUUAAAAUUACCUUUAGGUCAAAUAUAUACAUAUACAUAUAUAUACACACAUAAAUAGUAUAAAUGUUACUUCAAAAGUAUCCUCCAUAGAAUAUUAUAAAUAACGAAUCAGAUUUGUCAUUACAACAAAUGUGUCACAAUAUUCAGAUAUAUGUCAUAGAAUCAUAGGAUCAUUAAGGCUGGAAAAGACCUCCAAGAUCAUCAGGUCCAACCAUCCCCACCAUGCCCACUAAACCAAGUCCCUCAGUGCCACAGCUACACAUUUCUUGAAUGUACAUAUGCUGUUGUUAUUUAAUGCAUAGAUAGAGAAUCUCUCAUAACUGUUGUUGGUGGUUUUAUAAUACCUGACCUUCACCUGAGAGACAGGAUGCAGUAUUUUAUAAAAGUUAUCUGUACCUUGACUUACAGAAACAGUUGAGCUCGAAGUUCAGCACAGCUGUACUUAAAGGUCACCAGUAUUUCCUUAAUUUUAUGUUUUAAUACUUUGUAAAACCUCAUGCUCGAUGCGGUAGGUUUCUAAACAUAUAUUUUCAACUCCUCUAAAUGAAUGUUCUAUGCCAUGAAGAUACAGAAUGUUGCGGGAUUUGGGCAAUCUGUGGCAAAUACAACUAUUUGAAGACACUAACACAACUAGUAGGAUUGUUCUGUGUCACGGUAAAGGAUUCUGUGGGCAUAUGUCUGGUGUUGGUGGAGAAGACAUCCAUCUACUACUUCUGUUUGUUGAUGAAACCAUCCGAGUUACGGUUCUAGAACUGAAUUUCAGAGUAUGAUGCACAGUCCCUGCGCUUGGGUUACUGUCCAGACUUUGGCUAUACUUUGAUAAGAGAACGUCAGCACUCAGAAAACAUCACUUCAGAAGAACUCACCCCCUAGAAAUCCAAUAGGAAAGCAAAGCCAAUGUUUUCUUUUCGAACUGUUUCUAGCAAGGAAAAAUUGGGAGACUUGUAACAAGUAGAUCUACUUCCUCCAGAAAUUGUCUAUCUUUUUUUGUCCAG
ensembl:lncRNA